GAUGAACGCUGGCGGCGUGCCUAAUACAUGCAAGUCGAGCGAACAGACGAGGAGCUUGCUCCUCUGACGUUAGCGGCGGACGGGUGAGUAACACGUGGAUAACCUACCUAUAAGACUGGGAUAACUUCGGGAAACCGGAGCUAAUAUCGGAUAAUAUAUUGAACCGCAUGGUUCAAUAGUGAAAGACGGUUUUGCUGUCACUUAUAAAUGGAUCCGCGCCGCAUUAGCUAGUUGGUAAGGUAACGGCUUACCAAGGCGACGAUGCGUAGCCGACCUGAGAGGGUGAUCGGCCACACUGGAACUGAGACACGGUCCAGACUCCUACGGGAGGCAGCAGUAGGGAAUCUUCCGCAAUGGGCGAAAGCCUGACGGAGCAACGCCGCGUGAGUGAUGAAGGUCUUCGGAUCGUAAAACUCUGUUAUUAGGGAAGAACAAAUGUGUAAGUAACUAUGCACGUCUUGACGGUACCUAAUCAGAAAGCCACGGCUAACUACGUG
rnacentral:rRNA from 1 species